rnacentral:pre_miRNA from 1 species
GUAGUACUCCCUCCGUCCGGAAAUACUUGUCAUCAAAAUGAAUAAAAGGGGAUGUAUCUAGAUGUAUAUUAGUUCUAGAUACAUCUUUUUUUAUCCAUUUUGAUGACAAGUAUUUUCGGACGGAGGGAGUACUUG